rnacentral:SRP_RNA from 1 species
GCUAGGUGUGGUGGCGUGCACCUGUAAUCCCAGCUACUUGGGAGGCUGAGGUGGAAGAAUUGCUUGAACCCGGGAGACAGAGGUUGCAGUGAGCCAGGAUCAUGCCACUGCACUCCAGCCUGGGUGACAGAGCGAGACUCCGUCUCGG